GUCUCUUUGUAUUUUGUAAAUAAGGAGUUAGACCUGCUCGGUGAUAUAAUUUUUAACAGCUGCGGUAUUUUAACUGUACUAAGGUAGCAUAAUAGUUUGCCUUAUAAAUUGAGGCUAGAAUGAAAGGUUUGACGAAGGUUAGUCUGUCUCUAUAUUAUUUAUUAGAAAUUAAUUUCUAUAGUGAAAAAGCUUGAAUUUUUUAAAGGGACGAGAAGACCCUGUUGAGCUUAAAAUUUUAAUAUUAUUAAACUGAUUUAAUAAUAGAUAAAUUUUGAUUGGGGUGAUUAAGGGAUAAAUAUGUUUUAUUUAAUAACUCCCUUAGUAUUAAUAAUUUAUUUGUAAGAAUUAACCAAUGAUAUUAUAUUGCUUUUAUGUAGUUACCACAGGGAUAACAGCGUAAUUUACUUAGAGAGUUCUUAUUAAAAAGUGAGUUUGCGACCUCGAUGUUGGAUUAAAAUAACCUUAAGGUGUAGAAGCUUUGAUAGGUAAAUCUGUUCGAUUUUAAAUUU
rnacentral:rRNA from 1 species